GUGAAAGGGUGCGGUAAGAGCGCACCGCGGGGUCUGGCAACAGCCCCGGCUAGGUGAACCCCGCCUGGAGCAAGGCCAAAUAGGGAUCCCAAGGCGUGGUCCGCGCCGGAUCCGGGUAGGCCGCUAGAGGCGAUCGGCGACGAUCGUCCCAGAUGAAUGGUUGCUCGCGACAGAACCCGGCUUAUCGACCGGCUCACCCG
rnacentral:RNase_P_RNA from 1 species